rnacentral:rRNA from 1 species
GAUGAACGCUGGCGGCGUGCCUAAUACAUGCAAGUCGAGCGAACAGACGAGGAGCUUGCUCCUCUGACGUUAGCGGCGGACGGGUGAGUAACACGUGGAUAACCUACCUAUAAGACUGGGAUAACUUCGGGAAACCGGAGCUAAUACCGGAUAAUAUAUUGAACCGCAUGGUUCAAUAGUGAAAGACGGUUUUGCUGUCACUUAUAGAUGGAUCCGCGCCGCAUUAGCUAGUUGGUAAGGUAACGGCUUACCAAGGCGACGAUGCGUAGCCGACCUGAGAGGGGGAUCGGCCACACUGGAACUGGGAAACGGUCCAGACUCCUACGGGAGGCAGCGGGAGGGAAUCUUCCGCAAUGGGCGAAAGCCUGACGGAGCAACGCCGCGUGAGUGAUGAAGGCCUUCGGAUCGUAAAACUCUGUUAUUAGGGAAGAACAAAUGUGUAAGUAACGAUGCACGUCUUGACGGUACCUAAGCAGAAGGCCACGGCUAACUACGG